rnacentral:misc_RNA from 1 species
GUCUUUCUCCGCGGCCGACUGCAGUGGUGACCUGCGUGCACACACGUGCGCGCACACCGAUGUAAGCGGCCUCACCCGGACACGUCCACAUACAGGCAAUCAUAGACGAACACUCACAAGCCGGCACGUACGCUACACCAUCGUAUAGACGCAGCCGCGCAGGCGACUGGCGCGCAUCUUUUAGAGCCACCACACCCCCUCUGUUCUUUUCCCAUUCCCUACCGCUACCACUACCACCACCUUACCGCGCGUUCGCCGCUGCCCCUGACCUUGACGCCAUGCGCGUAAAGAGCAUCGUGAUUGACGGCUUCAAGUCGUAUGCGCACCGCAAGGAGCUGGCGGACCUCAGUCCGCACUUUAACGCCAUCACCGGGCUCAAUGGCAGUGGUAAGUCGAACAUCUUCGACGCCAUCUGUUUCGUCAUGGGUAUCACCAACUUGAAGCGCGUGCGCGCCGAGGACCCGCGGGAGCUGAUUUUCCGCGCCGGCACGACCGGCGUGCACGCGGCGCGGGUGACGAUCGAAUUCGUGAACGAUGACCCCGCCUCCGCCCCGCCGGGCUACAGCUGCGAGGAGUACCCGCUCAUCACCAUUGGCCGUCAGAUCAAGCUCGGUGGGAGGCAGCAGUUCUUCUUCAACAACAACGUGUCGCUGCAGAGCAAGGUGAAGCGCUUCUUCGAGAGCAUCAGCUUGAACGUCGACAACCCCCACUUCAUGAUCCUGCAGGGGACCGUGCACAAGCUGAUCGGCAUGCGCUCGCAGGACAUCCUGUCCCUCAUCGAGGAGGCGGUCGGCACGAAGGCCUUUGAUCAUCGCCGCCGCACCGCCGAGACGCUUAUUCGCAACAAGGAGCGGAAGAUGGAGGAGAUCGACACGAACAUCGAGGCGCAGAUCCGACCGCUGCUGGAGACGAUGCGGGCCGACCAGGAAGAGUACAACACGUUCAUGCAGAAGCGAGAGAAGAUGGAGGAAAAGGCGCGCUUCCGUGUCGCGCUGGACUACUACACGCAUCGCACGCAGCACACAGAGGCGGAGGCGGCGAUGGAGGCACGCAAGGCCGACGUUCAGAACGCGAAGACGCAGCUGCAGGCACUGCCGCGCCAGGAAGAGGAGGCAGCGCGUCGACUCCUGCAGCUGCAGGACUCCCUCAGCGCUCCGAGCGAUGCAGCCAUCGCGCUGCACGAAGAGGAAGAUGAACUGAAGAAGGCGCAUAGCCGCCUCGAAGGCCAGCUGUGCAACUGCACCCAGUCGCUGGAGCAACUCGAGACACAGCUCAAGAGUCUGCGGAAGGAGCAGGAGCGGCAGAGCAGCAGGCAGGCGGCCUUCGCGGCACGGCAGCGGCAGCACGAGCAGCUGCUCGCGCAGAUUAGGGCGGGCAAAGAAACGUGCGCAAGGCUGAAGAAGGGCCUCAAGCUCCUCCGAUCCGGCGUGCAGGCCGGUGCCUCGGGCGUCUCGCUCGCCGAGGAACGGCAGCAGGUGGACCUGCAGCUCAUCGAGCAGCAGUCGCGCGUGCGCCGCGCCACAGAGCGGCUUGAGGAGCUGGUGAAGCAGCAGCGGCGAGUCGAGGCGCACCAGGCCGAGGAGAACGGCCGCGUGCGGCACCUAGAGCACGAGUACGCCAAGGCAGCCGCGUCUCUCGAGAAGGCAAAGGCGGUGUACACCCCUUUGGCGCUGAAGCAGGAGCGCAAGGAGGCCCUCGAGGCCGAGAUCUCGUCGCUGAAGCGUGAGUACCAGGCCGAGUACGAGAACUUCCAGCGGCAGGUGAGCACGGCGACCGCGCGCAACUACGACCUCGACUACAACCGCUACGCCUGCCCACCCGACACGGAAGACAAGGUGCUUGGGCGUGUCGGCCAACUCAUCACUCCGACCGAUCCGCAGCAUGCGCUGGGGCUCAUGGUUGGCGCCCAGAACCAGCUGCUACGCGUCGUCGUCACGGACGAUCGCGUCGCUGAAGCCAUCAUCCGCAGUGGGCUGCGGCAGCGCACCGCGUUCUUUGCCCUGGACAAGCUGCAGCGUCAGCCAACACACUUCUUUAUCGAUGGCGCGAAGCUGCAGACGGCGCGGCUCAUUGCCGAGCAGCAGGGUGGCUGGGUGCACCGCGCACGGGACUUGGUGACGGUGCAGGAGGCCUCAUCCCAUCAGCAGCAGCAGCAGCUCAACGCUCUUGCGGACUUCGUGUUUGGCAACUUCCUUGUGUGCUCCAGCUUGCGGCUUGCGCAGGAGCUGGCCUACAACCCGUCCAUUAAGGCGAAGGCCGUCACCGUCGAGGGCGAGGUGGCCGAGCCGAACGGCUUGAUGACGGGCGGGUCGACGCGGCAGCUACGCGACGUUUUCGCCGACCUCAAGACGUACACCGCUCAGAAACAGCCGCUCAAGGCGCUGCAGCAACGCACGCGCGCGCUGGAAGUCGAGUACGCCGCCCUGCGCGACACGCUCCGGCAGCACCAGCACGACAUCCAGGUAUACAAGGCAGCGGAGGAGGCGGCGGAGCUGUCGAAGCAGCGCUACAUCGUCGCCGCUAACAGUGUGCAGAGCGGUGCGGCUGAGCUGCCGGAGCAGAUGGAGCGCGAGCGGACCGCGCUCGCCGAGGCGCGCGAGAAGGUGGAGGUCCUGCAGGCAAGGCAGCGCGAGUUGGCCACGCAGGCUCAGACGACAGACCUGAACUCGGUGCGACAGGAAAUGGAAGAUCAACUCGCCGCAGCGGAGGCCCACGUGGCGCGGCUGACGGCCGACGAGGAGCGCGGCGCGGCGGAGUUUGAGCGACUCGAGGCAGACAUGGAGCAGCAGGCGGCGGACUUGUCUCGCAAGACACAAGACACGGAGGAGGAUAUGGUGCAGCAACAGAGUCAGAAGUUGAAGCUGGCGGCGCAGGUCGAGGAGGUGACGCAGCAGCUGGCGGCGGUGCAGGCGCGCUCUAAGCAGAACGAGGAGCGGCGCCAGCGGCUGGAAAAAGAUAUCGACGACGCCCAGGAGGAGCUGACGCGCCUCGCGGAGCGCAAGGUCACGCUGGAUAACCUGGUCAAGAAUGGCGAAGUGGAGCUGCGAGAGCAGAGCCGGUGCCUCGAGAGUCUGCGCCGCCACGUUCAUGAGGCGGAGCAGCGCUACAGCUGGCUCCUCGAGGCGCGGGCCGCGUUCAAUCAACCAGGUGGCCCAUACGACUUCAGCGACGCGGCGCGCACGGCGGCCAUCCUGCAGGAGCUGCGCGACGUCGAAGCGCGUGCUGCCGUGAUGUCGAGCAAACUCUCGCAAAAGUCUGCUAUCCUGUACGAGGAGCGGCGCCGCGAGUACGAGGAGCUCGUCAAGCAGCGCACAGCCCUUGGCGAGGACAAGGAGGCGAUCCAGCGCUGCAUCACCGAGAUCGAGUCGAAGAAGUGGGGCGCGCUGGAUCGCAUGGUUGGCGUCGUCAGCUCCAUCUUCGGUAAGCUCUUUGCCACGUGUCUGCCUGGCGCGACGGCGCAGUUGCUGGAGGAACGCGACGCGGCGAACCAUCUCAGCGGCCUCAGUGUCCGUGUCUCCUUCAACGGGAAGCCGAGGGAAUCACUUUCCGAGCUCAGCGGUGGUCAGCGCUCGCUGCUGGCGUUGUGCCUCAUACUGGCCAUCCUGCGCGUUCGCCCCGCACCGCUGUACAUCCUGGACGAGGUGGACGCUGCCCUCGACCCCAGCCACACCCAGAACAUUGGCCGCAUGCUGCAGCUUUACUUCCCCCAUUCACAGUUCCUUCUGGUGUCGCUGAAGGACGGCAUGUUCAACAACGCCAACGUGCUCUACCACAUUCGCAAUACGCAAGGCUACUCGGAGGUGGCGCGCAUCGAACACAAGCCGCCGUCUCAGCCGACGUCCGCCGACAGCGACCCGCAAAACGUGGCGAGCGGCGCUGAGAAACAAGGCGCUGUGACGUCGUCUGCGUAAGCGCAGUAGGCAUACACAUAUACACACGCAGCUGCUGUAGCUGCUGCUGCUUACGCCAGGGAAAUGUGUAUGUAUGUAUGCGUGUGUGUGUGUGUGUGUUAUAUCCGCAGAACUAUAGAUUUGCAUCUUUCUCCUUUCCAGCGUGUGUCCGCACUCUGCCCGACGGCACAUGAGCUCAAGCGCCACGCCACUCAAUCGUGUCCCCCCUUCCCAUCCCUAGUCCGUCACAGGCCGCCAACCCACGGCGCUACGUCGUAGGUGCUCGGCCCGGCCAUCGCCAGCGGCGGUUCGGGGUCGGAACGGGAUGGGGGGCUGCUCGGCUUCCCCUCGCACACAGGGGGGUGGGGUCGGUGGGCCCCGUGCUGCAAGGCGUGUGUGUGUGUGUGUGUGUCCCUUCCCUCUUCGUCGUGGAGGGGGGUCACAGAAAAAUCAGGAACAGAGAAAACGCGAACUGCUUAUCGGCACGUUGCUCUUGUCGUGUGAGCCGAACUCUCGAUGCGGAGAAGAUAACGAUGCGACAUGGUGCGACGAUGCUCGAGCGCCUCUCCCGCCACACGAAGUCGACAUGCAUGUCGGGUAGAGGGGAAGGGGCGCGCGCGUUGAUGUGGAUGCUUCUCCCUGGCGAUCUCCUUCUCGCGCUGCCGCUAGCUUCGCGGCUUACCGUCAUGAACGUCUGCCUUCGUCUCUAUCCUACGCCACCCUUUCCUCUCCCCUCUUCCACCGCACUCCCCCCCCCCUUUCCACACGCACACGCACCACAG